AAUAUCUUAAUAGGAUGUAGUUUAUUACCACUCACAACAAUCUAUUUAUUUUAACUUCAGUUGCCUACUGUGACCCAAUUAAACACAAAGGAAGAUCGUGGCUAUGCUAGGAUGAGUCAGUGAUGGCCUCCAGAAAACGACUCCGGGUUAUGCACCUUCCCCCAGUGACUCAGUCAACACUACUGUGGGUGCUGCUGUGCAGGGUCCUGCACGUGUAAGUAAGGUCCCAAAUCAGUUGACGUUAAGACCGUGACUAUCCAGGCUUGACCUGUCCUAAUCAGGUGAGCUCUUAAAACAACUUGGUUCUUCCUCAGCAAAGUGACUCACAGUGUGAGAGGGAUUCAAUGUGAGGGGUUUCCUCCACUGUGAGCUUUGAAAAUGGAAGGGCCAUGUGGCAAAGGAUGCUGGUGGGCACCAGGAAUCGGGAGCAGCUCCACCCCACCUCCACCUGACAGCUGCAGGGAGCAAGGACUCCAAUCCUACAGCUGCCUGAAACUGAAUUCUGCCACCAAGCUCUGUAUACGCUUAGAGGAGGACCCAACCUCAACAUGAGGACACAGCUUGUGAAACUCUCAGCAGGAAACCAUUCACACCAGCCUGUGGCCCUCACUAGUCAUGUACAAGGCUAUCUAGGUUCCCAGGAGUAUGGAAGCUUUCCAGAACCCUGCUUCCCCAGAGCAUCUCACUCCCAGCUUUCCCUUCCUGUCCUUUCUGCAUGUCUAAUACUUUCCUCAAUUGACAUAUACAUAUUUUUUUUUUGCCUCAGAGGUAGCUGCUGACUCAUUGGCUUUUAAAGUUUUUUUUUCUUUUUCUUUUUUUUUUAAAUGAAAUUCUCUCUGCCUUGGCUGACUCUCUGCUGUGAGACAGAUUGAAGCAAGGGGAGAAUGUGAACCAUUUCUGUUCAUCCUUCAGGGAGUUGUCCAAAGGCCAAAAAAAUAAGAAAGAAUUCUUUGAGAUCAAGAUCUGCUCAGCUCCAUGUGGCAGCAGGAACCCACGCUGGGGACCCAGGCUGCUGUCUUCAAGACCACUGCUCACCUGGAGGGAGAAAUGGCCAAGGAAUCCAGUACCAUCAAACAAGUCCAAGUGAAAAAGAAAUCAAGCCUGAAGCUAAGCGAACCUCCACAGCCAAUUACCAGUUUAGAGGCAAUACAGGAAAGUCGAUUCAACCUGGUAUCCAGUGAAGAAAUCCCUAGUGCAAAGGAGAGGUGGAUCUCAGGACUGUGCGUCAUUUGCAAAAGGAAGCGCAUGAACCACCAGGUGGGGCUGCUGAGCUGCUUCUGCUCCGAGGAGGUGGAUGUCCGGGAUGAGCUUUAAGGGCGAGCUCACUCUCUGACAUCAACUUCCCCGUGGUGAGUCUCCGUGUACAAGAGUCCAAGGGGAGAAGUAAGGAGUGGGAGGCAGGGAGUCCAGUUCAGGAACGGGGAUUCCAGGACCAGAAGUGAAGGGGAAAAGGC
rnacentral:lncRNA from 13 species